GAUGAACGCUAGCGGCAGGCCUAAUACAUGCAAGUCGGACGGGAUCCAUUGAUAGCUUGCUAUCAAUGGUGAGAGUGGCGCACGGGUGCGGAACGCGUGAGCAACCUGCCUCCAUCAGGGGGAUAGCCUCUCGAAAGAGAGAUUAACACCGCAUAAUAUCAACAGUUCGCAUGUUCAGUUGAUUAAAUAUUUAUAGGAUGGAGAUGGGCUCGCGUGACAUUAGCUAGUUGGUAGGGUAACGGCUUACCAAGGCGACGAGGUCUAGGGGCUCUGAGAGGAGAAUCCACCACACUGGUACUGAGACACAGACCAGGCUCCUACGGGAGGCAGGAGUAAGGAAUAUUGGUCAAUGGGCGGAAGCCUGAACCAGCCAUGCCGCGUGCAGGAGGACUGCCCUAGGGGUUGUAAACUGCUUUUGUCCAGGAAUAAACCUAAAUACGAGUAUUUAGCUGAAGGUACUGGAAGAAUAAGGAUCGGCUAACUCCGUG
rnacentral:rRNA from 1 species